rnacentral:rRNA from 1 species
ACGCGCACGGGUGAGUAACGCGUAUCCAACCUUCCCCAUAGUAGGGCAUAGCCCGUAGAAAUGCGGAUUAAUACCCUAUGUUUUCCGAAGAUGACAUCUGAUUUGGAACAAAGGUUCACCGCUAUGGGAUGGGGAUGCGUCUGAUUAGGUAGUCGGCGGGGUAACGGCCCACCGAGCCGACGAUCAGUAGGGGUUCUGAGAGGAAGGUCCCCCACAUUGGAACUGAGACACGGUCCAAACUCCUACGGGAGGCAGCAGUGAGGAAUAUUGGUCAAUGGGCGCGAGCCUGAACCAGCCAAGUAGCCGUGCAGGAUGACGGCCCUAUGGGUUGUAAACUGCUUUUAUACAGGGAUAAAGUCGGGGACGUGUCCCCGUUUGCAGGUACUGUAUGAAUUAAGGACCGGCUAAUUCCGUGCCAGCAGCGGC